CAUCCCUUUGAAUUUGUUAAAGUUGCCCUUGGAUCAACUAAGCUGACAUUGAAAAACAUAUAUAGAAAUAAUAAGUGAGUUGUUCCCUUAGGGUCAUUCCUACGUGGCCUGGGAAGGAACCUGAAGAGCUUGGGCAUGGUGCACCUGGGGCCGAGGCAGUGCUCACCUGUGUCGGCGUGAUGUGGCUGAUGUCUUCAGAUGCGAGCUGCUUCAGAAGGGUGGUCUUGCCAGCAUUGUCCAAGCCCAGGAGAAGGAGUCUCACCUCCUGGUCUGGUGCGCUUUUCAAUUUACGCAGAAU